rnacentral:lncRNA from 1 species
AGCUGGAGUUCAACGCAGCGCGACUUUCGAUGGCGAGCUCCGUGACAACGUGAAGAGCAUCAGAAAUCCAAGAAGUCACCGUCGCAGUUCAACCCCAAAAAGAAACAGUGUACUGCCAGCAAAUAAAGUUCCUUGAAAAGGUAUACUUCCAACAUACACAAAGACUCGGCUUAAGGAAAAUUCAAUGAGAAGAAGAAGGCUUAAAGCCAGGGAUAAAUAAGAGAAUUAAUGAAGGUAGAAGAUAAAUACACGAGGAGGAAGACUCACCGUUCCUUCUUGAUAUCCUCCUUCACGGUCAUCUCGUACUUGCCCUCGAUGUAGAUGAAGAGAAAAGCUCCGAGGACGCUGUAGAGGAACAUCACGAGGAAGAGGAAUAUGUGCGUGAACCACCUCUUGCUCCAGGAGCUGACCUAAGCAAAAGGAUCUCUUGAGUCGUUUGCUUUUUUUCUCCUGUAUACUGUUAUUAUUUAUUCGUUUUUUUUCGCGCGGAUGCGUUUCGUCAGAUUCGAUUUGCUCUGCUGUCGACCGAUACGUGUAAAAGGAAUACACAGUGUCGCGUGUCUAGCGGCGGGUUUGUGUGUUGACUUUUUAUUUUUAGAGAGACGUGCGAAGGAAAGCUUUCUGGAACAUAUGUGCGAGACUCGUAUGACGUUGUACUGUCGUGUUCUUUUGUGUCGGGAUGUAUCGACUGCACUCGUAUAUAACGUGUAUUGUAUUUCUGGACAGUACUUUGUAUUUAAUCGACGAUACGCUCUCGCGACGAAAAUAACGGGUUUAUAUUCAAAAACGAGAUCCGAUCACGUCACUCGGAACUAAAAUCUCGACUAGUAAUCAAAUUAUUAACAUAACACACAGCAUCGGCUGUAGCGUUUCCCGGAACACGAGAAAGCGAUUCUAAAUCCGCGCGAUAUGUCUGUCGUAUUUUCCCAGGCGCCUUACUCGCCGCAGAGAUCGUCAAAUCGACGCUCGCGCAUACGGGCUAAAUAAAUGUCGGUGUCAAUCGCAUCCGUUCGUGCCUGACCUAUUUAUGCGCGCGGCUGCUGCAGCGCUGUACACCACGUGCGUUUUUCGCUUUUCGGUGAGGAGUUUCGAAGAGCCUCUUGAAGCUUGGAUAUUUUACAAGGUUUGGGAACUGUCGGAGGGGGGGGGGGGCGACAUGCUCGUGUGUGCAGUGCAAGUAGUAGCGGGCGCUAUCGGUCAGCCGUAAAAGCAUCCGCACUGCAGCGCAGUUUUUUUUUUAAUUUUGCGUGGUGCGACUCGAAUUUUAAUCAAGAUCGAGAAUUUCUGUAUUAUCGAGUGUAAAAAGCGAUUAAUUCUGCUCAGGCGACGAAUACCACAAGUGGUAUAUAUAUAUAUGAGAUUGCGAAAAGUUCAAUAAAAUUGAAAUCGCAGCUCGAAAUAGCUCGGCGUCGGUUAAAAUUCUUAUUAAUUUCUCAGGCCUUACCUUCUCGUAAAGCCAGAAAGCGCUUUUCUCGCCGACGCUCAAGCCCGAUUUGGUCCAGUCCUUGAAUCCCUUCAGGUGAGCGAACAUGAACUCGCUGGCCUUGU